rnacentral:lncRNA from 1 species
GGGCUUAACUAGAUUCUUUUAAAAGUGAGGCAAAAUAUAUUCGCCAUUCGGUGAGGGAUCUGGCGGCCGUUCAAGACCCCCAGAAGCUAUGAAAAAAUAUUACGCAAAAUCGUGAAUCCUGAGAGUUUCGUAUACUCUUAGGAGGCACAAUUAUUUGAGUGUACCUACCCUUGGAACCUCAGGCUCCAAAAACACCAGUCAAGUAAAAGACAUCAGCCAAGUUCAAAACACCAGCCAAGUUAAAAACACCUUCAAAACAGAAGGCUGUAUCAACACCAAAAUCUACUAAGAUUGAGGUAUGCUGCUAAUGGCAGUCAAGAUCAUCAGAUACUUCUUACUCAGUAGUGACAGUCCACCUUCCGCGAAGAAAGCAAAACUUGACAAGAUUUCUUGGUUUAAUGGAAAAAAAGAGUUAUUAACACUUGUGUCGAUCCUGUUAAUAUAUUUAAAACCAGAAUUACAACUAUAGACUCUAUUAGAUUUGCGAAUCUCUUGUAUCAUAUGUCUCUGUUAAAUUACAUCGGCGAAUGUGAAUUCAGUCCGGU